AUUGAACGCUGGCGGCAUGCUUUACACAUGCAAGUCGGACGAGUGGCGAACGGGUGAGUAACAUAUCGGAACGUACCGAGUAAUGGGGGCUAAGUAAGCGAAAGAAUAGAUAAUACCGCAUAAUAUGCGAGCGGCCGAUCUCUGAUUAGGUGGUUGGGGGGGUAAAGGCCUACCAAGGCGACGAGCAGUAGCGGGGCUGAGAGGAUGAUCGGCCACACUGGGACUGAGACACGGCCCAGACUCCUGCGGGAGGCAGCAGUGGGGAAUUUUGGACAAUGGGCGCAAGCCUGAUCCAGCCAUGCCGCGUGUCUGAAGAAGGCCUUCGGGUUGUAAAGGACUUUUGUCAGGGAAGCGGUACCUAACGAAUAAGCCCCGGCUAACUACGUGCCAGCAGCCGCGGUAAUUC
rnacentral:rRNA from 1 species